AUGGAUCAGAUUACAACAACCUACCAGCGGAAAACAACUUCUUCGGGAGGAAGAGCAAGCUUUUGGUGUUCUACCCCCAAUGUAUUUGCCGAUAAAUCUAAAACCUCCAACGUCCCGAAUACAGCUCCCAACCCACCCCCAACACUCAGUUCCCCCACAGAGGAGGGAAGUGACUCCCUCGCCCGCGGAGCUGCCCACCACCACGGUCAUUACCUUGGAGCUGAGUCUCGUAACAGGACGAGCAGAAGGUCUCUCUCGGCGCAGCGGCUGUUUGCGCCCGGGCGCCCCAGGGGGGUCCCCGCUGCUGGGGCGCUCAGCAGCAGCCACAGCUGCCACCGCUGCUGCUGCAGCAGCCGCCGCCGCCGCCGCCGCCGCCGCCGCCGCCGCCUCCACCUCCUCCCCUUCCCAUGGCUGCGCCCCGCUUGGCAGCUCUCGGGCUGUCAGGCUCUGGGAGAGGAGGGGUGGAGAGGGGGGCGGGGUAAAGGGAGAAAAGGGGAUGGGAGGGGAGGGCACGAGAGGGGUGGGAACCGAGGAAAGGGAGCGGCAGCUUUUUGGCUGGGGGAGGGGGGGCAAGGAUCUGUGGAACGGGGGAGAGAGCCGCACGCUCCGAAGUCUGGGCUCGGAACCGAGGGGAAGGAGAGCUCCAACCCGAGGAGAAGCGGAGGCAGCUGGUGGGAGAUGGGCUGGGGAGGAGGCGAGAGCCGCCCGGGGAGCGAAUUCCUGGGAGCUCAGAUUGCUGCCUUUGCCUGUGAGGAGUUGGAGUUGGUGCGUGUCACUUUCAUCUGGACGACUGGGCUCCUCCUAGAGGAAAGCCCUGGCUGGUGCAGGACACUUCCUUCCUCUAGGGAGGCCCACCCCUGCUCCCGAAAAGAAAACAGGGUCCCAAAGAUAGCUAUAGUAAAUAAACCAAUGAGCGCCCGAGCGGGAACACGCCGAAGGCAGCUCUCUGCACCGCCUGGAGAGCGGAGUUCGGGAAAGGCAUUUACCAGGCCCGACCUCCAAACGCCUUCUACUUAG
rnacentral:lncRNA from 1 species